UCUUAGUGAUGUAAUUCUAAUAGUUCCUUCUGACCUUCCACUGUGGACUCAAUAGCAGGGAGAUGAAGAGGACAGUGAUUGAGCCACCUGGGCAGGAAGA
ensembl:snoRNA SNORD62 Small nucleolar RNA SNORD62